rnacentral:sRNA from 1 species
GGCCAGCACUGUGAUCGCUCUGCCGUCCCGACAUCGCGAUGAUAAACCUAAUGGCGAUUUUCAACUGAAAUCAUGAUGAGAUGAAGGAUUUCGUAUUUAACACACGUUGAAAGUUUCUUCGGCCGGAAUACUGCCCAGCUCCAGUUGGUCGUUGGGGAUAAUAAUCUCUACAUCUCAUAUGCUGCAGAGUUUGAGCCCUGCAUCAGGACUGUUGAGUUAACCCUAACUAACACUGGAUGAGGAGGGCAACCACAAUUUCUUAUGAUGACAUUAGUACAUAUACAUAUACAAUGAGCAACUGGCUAGGGGAAGGCUGUUAUAUGUUAUAUAGUCUCUGACCGCAUAUAUAGCCUUGGAAAAGAUAUGAUAAAAGAACGGGUUUAUCCUAUAAUGGCAACCGAGCUGUGGAUAGAAAUCGGCGUUGCGCCGGCAGGAAAACAUUGGUUAUGACAUCACUAUAUCACGGUGGCGAGCGGGCAGUGAAAGCUUUCAGUGAAUCUAGACUUUUCAUUUCUAUGAUGUAUGUGCGGG